GUGGAGGAAGAAAUGAGACUGUUGAGAAAGGACCGAUUAUUUGCCCAGGAAACCCCACUCCUUUCUCUGAAGCUCCGUGGAAGUUAAUGACAAUUCGUGACUAAAGUGUCCCAUCUCCCUUGCUCAGCACCUCCCAUCCUGCCUCUGGCUCUGGGCUUUGCUCAUUCCAGAGAGGUUAACACUGCCUUUGGAUCUUUCUGGUGUGGCUAUCCCCCUGCACACCUUCCAGGACCACAUGUUCUCUUACAGAGUUCUCGUAAGGAAAUAAAAGUCAACCCCCAGCUUUGACAGGUGAAGACUUCUGGAGGCUGGCUGUUGUAGGAGCCAGGAUGACACAGAGAUGUCCUUACAAACCAGGACCAGAACAGCUGAGGAGCUCCUGUUACCCAAGAAGGUGAUCAAACAGACUGAGAUGCCCUCUUCUGCUGCUGUCUUGAGCACCGUGUGUCAUCCGCUCAUCUCAAUCCCAUCUUAGCAGUUCACCCCCAGCAAGGAUGCUGCGCUCUCUCUGAUUUCAUCAGCAUUAAGUCCUUUGGUUCCUCAUAUCCUUCCCUGCCAUGUCUUAAAAUAGUCUACAGCACUCAAGUCAAGGAUCCCAUCAACCUCCCCAUCUCUAACGCUGCAUAAUCUUGCAAGAACACUGUCGCCUAUUCUCCUUAAGGAGCACAUGCAAUCAAAACGCUCUUAAAUGAGAACCUGGAGGUAGGGUUGUUCCGGCAGCCCCAGAGUCAGCCAAGCCCAGGAUCAUCUGAGUGCCUGCUAGAGAGAGGGAUGUUUGCUAUCUUGACUCUCUUGGGAAGGCCGAUUUCAUCUGCAACUGAGGGCAUCCUUUGCUUUGUGGAAUAAGGAAGCUGACAAAAUUUGUGAUACUCAUAACUCUCAGAAAAUGAUUUUUUCCCUACCUAUAUCCUUCACUGCCUAGCACCAGGGUGGCUUUCAGAACUGAACUGUGCUUUUGUGUGAAAUGCCACAUUUUACUGUGGCCAAGGGUGGAACCCAGAGCCUGGAGUAUGUGGGUAUUCGGCAGAAAAAAAAAUCAUCAAAAGAGGAAUCAUUUCCAUGCGGAGAAGAGGGAAAGGCACAAGACGAAACAACUUGAAAACAAGGCAAAUUUUAUUGCAUGUGGCAAAGAGUCACAUGGAACUUAAG